AACGCAUAUUGCGCCCCCUGGUAUUCCGGAGGGCACGCCCGUCCGAGUGUCAUAUCUACUUCAAGCCCCGGGCUUGGUGUUGGGCGGCGUCCGCGAGGACCCCUCUCAAAUCAAUCGGCGCCUUCCCGAAGGGCCUCUGAGCGCAUCGAGCCUAACCGCCCGCGCUCGGGGUGCCUACGAGGGGGCCGCCCGUUCUUUUCCUGACCUCUCCUGGUCAGACACAUGGCCUCGGAUCGGGCGGGACUACCCGCUGAACUUAA
rnacentral:misc_RNA from 1 species